AGAACAGAACAUGGUCCAGGUUCUGCAUCUGUACAGUCUCUACGUGAUAUCUGACAACCCCUUUUACAUGAAUCAUUGCUGGUAAGGAAGGCCGACUCCAUGGCGGGCAGGAUAGUCUGCAGACAGUGGCAGGGAGGAGGAUGGGGGACAGGAUCAGUGCCACCCCCUCUCACCCACUCCAUGAUGAUCUCUAGCUAACAGGCGGCUCAUGCCCCAGAGAUGACUGACUACUAUUUUCAACCCUGUCUCCUAGAAAUUCAGUUUGUAUCUCACUAAAUUACUAUGUUCUAAAUAAUUAUGUUGUGGUGACAACAUAAUACCUGCCUGGAAUCGGUUCAGAGGCAACAUUUUAUGAAACACUACAUUACUGUACGGUCCUGGAGUCAUUUCCCAAUAAUGUUCAAAGCAAACAUAUUUCCUUCAGCAUUAUGUUUAAGGCUUUUGAGAGUGAAUUUUUUGCCAGCAACUUUCAGUUCAGGCCUGUGUGUGAACUGCUUUGAAAGUGUAACCACUGAACGGACAAAAGCAUUAAAGCAAAUAAGAAAAACUGUAAAUACACUCUUUGUUACAGUUUUUCAAAAUGCUUCACACUGUCAGCAAAACGCUAGUUGGUGUGGAUCAUAUUUCAUUGCUUUCACACGCAAUGCAUCAACUGUGUGAACAGGUUUGAAAAAAUGAACUAUGCAGUAUGCAGCAAAUGUUGGGUUUGUUUGUGUCCACUAGAGGGUAUUGUAGGAAAGAAAUAUUAGUCCUACUUGAUGUAAAGUGAGUGAAUGUUUUCAAAUGUCAAAUGAAAACCAUCAUUCUCAAUAUCCUUAGUUUUAAGGUUUACACACAGACUUGAAAUGUACAGCUCAAAUAUCUUAAUCCAGUGACACGAGCUAGUCUCUGUGAAUGACUUGUAUUACUAUUUAUUAUACAAAUCUAUAAAUAUGGUCUUGAUGUAUAUUCUUGUAUGCAAAACAUUUGAGACAACUGCCACAACCUUAGACUCUAUAUAAUAUGAACAUAUACUGAUGAUAUUGUAGUGUGUGGUGUAUUUCAAGGGAAAGUUUAAGAUGAAAUACAAGAUUACUACCAGAUUGACAGAAGCCAAUGAGGUGCUGAUAACAACAUUUUGUGUUGUUUUUAUAUAGAAAUGUGUUGUUUUGUUAUUUGUUUUUAGUGUACUUUCAUUUUUGUAUUUUCUGUCUGACAUUAAUGCUUUAAUCUAAGUACAUACUGCGAGCAGACUGUUGGAACUGGUUUCUGUAAGACAUGAGUUAAUUCAGUCAGCUGUUGAUAUCUGAGUCAAAGUCUGCAGCUACAUGCACAAUUUUUUUUUAUUUUAAGUCAAGUGUUUACAUGAGAUGUGAUCUAAUACGGUCUGGAUGCAGCUGUGUGAGAUGGAUUAAAAGUGAUGAAUAUUUCCACGCUUUCAUAAAGUUGAUGGGGAUGAUCAGCACUUCGGUCUAUCCCGGUUUGAUCCAUUUUUAUCUUAAACUUGUUUGUUUGUUGUAAUGUUCAAUUAUUUAAGAGUUUGUCUUAAAACUCUCUGCAGAGGCCGAGUUCAGCCUGGAAGCUGCCAUUUUUUGGAAGAAGACAUCCACGCUCAUUUGCUUCAAAAUGGAGGGCAUGUACAGAAAGAAUGCAGUCAUAAAGUAAUCCGAUUAAAUGGUUUUCAUGGUACAAUUUACACCGAUUUAAAGUACCCCUCUGCAAAUUAUUGAAAUUUCAAUCCGUUUUUAAACAAAUCUACAUUUUUGUAUUCUGUUUAGGAUUAUAGUCAGAAUAUUAGGCGCCAUAUAAAUACGAAAUGUCAUACUGACAGUUCCUUAGAGCUGUGAUUAUCAACCUUUUUGCUUAAGGGACUACUUUUCUGUAAUUCAUUACACUGAAGACCAAGGCUUAAGUGGCAUAUUUUUUGGAUAUAUGUAUGUAUGUAUGUAUAAUAAACCCAAACAAUGAACACAAUUACUCCAGAAAGUGUAAAAUGAGUGAUCUGGAUUAAUUUUGAGCAGAUUAUUUCCUGUUUAGGCAAUGUUUGUUUUUAACUAUCAUACUUACAGUUCUCAGUAGUAAUAGUAAUUUUUAUAGUAGGUACUACAUUUAGUUUUCUUUACAGAAGUGAACAAAAUACUGAGAUAUGGAUUUCUAACUCACCUUAAAAUCAAGAAGGCCUCGUGAACCUCCCCAUGUGCCUUUGGUGACCCCUAGUGGGGGAUUUGGGUUUGGAACCAGUGCCUUACACAGACAAGUUAGGCUAAAUGUUAUGAGUGAGUGACAGUUUCUUGCAAGUGUUAAAGUGUGAAGAUUGCUCCUAAUGUUUGGAGAUCUGCAACAGUGAGUCAGAAAAUCUGCUCCAGAAAUGGAUAACAUUUUUAAAAAAGACACAGGACACAAAUGGGAAAUUUUGGCAUAAGCUUUUAAUGUUUUUAUUUAGUUUUUGAGGUUUUCUCUUUAAACUGAAUUUGUUUGCUUUUUCCCAGUAGUUCGGUGAUUUUUUUUAUUAAUAUUCAUCAGUUUUUUUUAUUUAUCCUAUCAGUAAAGGAGAAGAGUUGCUCAGGUAAAUCAGCAUUCACAGUCAAACCUUCAUACGUUUUAACAACAGAACUGUUUUUUAUAAGUCUCUUUUUCACAAAUGCUGUUGAAUUAUUACAGUUUCACCUUUUUUGUUCUUUACAUGUUUCAAAAAUAGAAAAGGUAAAUAAUAAACAUUCCAUUGAAAUAUAUUUUAUACAGUUCUCGAUUCUUUUUAUUUUAUUUUUCUCUCUCCAGUGUAGUGACAAUAAAAUUAUAUCCAGCAUCAGUCUUUAUAGAAUAAACCCCGUUCAUUAAUGGAGGGA